rnacentral:tRNA from 1 species
GGCUCUGUAGCUCAGUCGGUAGAGCAAAGGACUGAAAAUCCUUGUGUCGGGAGUUCAAUUCUCCCUGGAGCCA